GGCUGGAAUGCAGUAAUGUGAUUUUAGCUCACCACAUCUUCCACCUCCCGGGUUCAAACGAUUCUCCUGCCUCGGUUUCCUGAGUAGCUGGGAUUACAGGCAUGCG